CCUACGGGAGGCAGCAGUGGGGAAUAUUGGACAAUGGGCGAAAGCCUGAUCCAGCAAUACCGCGUGUGUGAAGAAGGCCUGAGGGUUGUAAAGCACUUUCAAUGGGAAGGAAUACCUAUCGGUUAAUACCCGGUAGACUGACAUUACCCAUACAAGAAGCACCGGCUAACUCCGUGCCAGCAGCCGCGGUAAUACGGAGGGUGCAAGCGUUAAUCGGAAUUACUGGGCGUAAAGCGUGCGUAGGCGGUGAUUUAAGUCAGAUGUGAAAGCCCUGGGCUUAACCUGGGAACUGCAUUUGAUACUGGGUCACUAGAGUUGAGUAGAGGAGAGUGGAAUUUCAGGUGUAGCGGUGAAAUGCGUAGAGAUCGGAAGGAACACCAGUGG
rnacentral:rRNA from 1 species